rnacentral:tRNA from 1 species
AAGGCCUUAAGUUAAAAUAUUAAACUAAUAACCUUCAAAGCUAUAAAUAAAGGGCUAUCCUUUAGGCCUUG